GAUUAGAACAUGAACAAGCAGAUGCCUCGACCUUAAAACCCUAGCUUCAUACGCCACUAGUGCCUGCGUUUCGCAUUGUACCUGAUGGUGUUGUUAGUCCUCAUACAGAUCCAGUGAGGAAUAGGCCUAUUCUGCCUCAUCUUCUUGGCCAGCUUCUUCUUGAUCCUGAAGGUCUUGUGUGAUGACAUCUUCAAUUCUUCACGAUCGGAGAGGAAGCCGAACGGUCAAGGGAAACGCUAGCGACACGGGAUCGUGAGGGAGCUUGAUCCUACCGUGGAGUAGCUGGAGCUAGAGGUGUGUAGUCGAGUGGUCUGUGGAGCUAGGAGGGCUAACACUUGUGGAGGAGAUGACGACUCGACCUCUAGGAUGAUGAGUGGUCUGGCUAUCCGAGUGGAUCAUUCGCAGCAGCACAUAGCAGGGAGCACCGCAGCAGGCACCGAGGCAGCAGCACACCAUACCAGAGGAGAGCCGCGGGAGACGGAUUAGGAUUUAGGGUUUUUUUGUGUGACGUGUGGACCAUGUGGUGUGGUUGGACUGACCGUGUGGCUGUGUGGAUUUAUAAAUUAUUCAAAUAAACGGGUCACCCGACGGUCUGAUUUUCAUAUCCGUGUUGGAAAGUUCAAUAAAUAAAUAAAUAAACAAAUAAAAACUGGUUGAUGAAGUUAGCGCUAGACCAACCCCGUCACUGUCUUGGCGCCAAGACACAGGGCUGCAAAUUUCUUUUCGAACGGAUAACUUCGCCGCAAGCUUCAGCAAUUAGCAAUCGGCGAUAAGCAUUCACGGGGCAGAGUUGGAGAAGCAUCCUGAAUUUUUGCGAGAGGGAGGGUGUGAUUUUCUGAAACAGCAAGAAGCUGCACUGUUUCUCUACGCUGCGGCGAAAUGAAUCAUCGCUAGCAUCACCGAUGGCUGUAAAAGGGUGGAUUAGCGGAGACGAGAGCGCCAAAGAGAUGCUAGCGAGGGUUAUGACUGAGCGUCCCUUCCUCCUUCUUCCUCCCCUUCACAGGCUCCCUCUCCGCGUCGGCAAUGUCGUCGAGAUCGUUGGCCCGUCUCCUUCCGCAAAGACUGAUAUCUUGAUUCAGGCUUCAGUCAAUUGCAUUCUUCCGAAAGAGUGGAACGGUGUGCACUAUGGAGGAUUGGAGUGUCUAGUAUUUUACAUUGACUUAGAUUGUAACUUUGAUAUAUUACGACUUUCACAAUCAUUGAAGCAUCGAAUUAUGGAGGCUAAUGGAGCAUACAGUGAAAUAUAUGGGGACAAAAACAAUGAUGUUUGGAACUAUGAGACAAAGGAGGAGUCCUGUGUCAUUUACAAUGAAGAAUUAUUUGCAGCGUGCAUGAGACGGUUCUUAUACAUGCGAUGUUAUGAUAGCUUUGAAUUUCUUUCCACGCUGAAGACUUUGCAUUAUCAGCUUCGGAAGGAAAGAGAAGAACAAGGUGUAAGCAUUUAUUUCCUUAUGAUUGACAGCAUUGGAGCUUUUUAUUGGGUAGAUCGUGCCUCAACAUCUCUACUAAUGGGGGCUAGUAACAGGAAAAGGCUUUCACUUCAAAGUGUGUCAGAAACUGUAGUUCAAGAGAUUCGGAAGCUUCUGCUGGUGCAUCCCAUGCUUAUUUUAACUACUAAAGCAACCAUUUUGGGGAUAGGUCAACAAAUGGGGUCAGCUGAUUUUGGAGCUACAACAGGUAUUCCUCAGAAGCUUUCAUAUCGCGAGUAUAUGCCUUCCGUCUGGCAGUCCUUUGUUACGCACAGGAUACUUAUACGAGUUUCAGAGGAUGAUUUGACUAAAAACAAACAUCAAAAUUGUUCAGUCUAUUCCGUAGAAUGGUUGCUGCCACCUUUGAGUCUCAUGGAUAAAUUUAUUGUUAGAGAUGCUGGGAUAUUUGUUUCAUGAAGUGAUGCUGUGAAGACCUCAAUGAAAUGAUCAGGUCAAAGUAUCCAUCCAAGAAACAGAAAAGAAAAAGAAAAAGAAAGAAGAGCAUGCUGAAACCAAGAGGGGAAAACUGGUAAACAAGUAGCAGCACUGCAGGCCCCUUUUUGCCACUAGCUACUGCUGUCCUACCAUGUUUCUGACCUAGAAGGGGACAUUUGGCAGAUAGCUAGAUGCGAGUUGCUGUUAUCCUGUCGCAUUUCUAGACAUGAAUAGCAGCAACAACACAAUGAUACAAUAAAUUUUUGUUGUAAACCGGAGACUGGUAGGCGUUCUCAUAGGAUUCUGGGUAUUCAAGAAGAAUGGUGGAAACUUGUAUAAAAUUGAAUCCUAUUAAGGAAAGAUUUCGAGCUUGUUAUUUCUAAUUACUAGAUAUGGUUGCACAAAUGUUCUCUUGAGUUUUAAUAGCUGCAUAUUUUGGGUUUAGUUGGGAAA